AGUGAACGCUGGCGGUAGGCCUAACACAUGCAAGUCGAACGGCAGCACAGUAAGAGCUUGCUCUUACGGGUGGCGAGUGGCGGACGGGUGAGGAAUACAUCGGAAUCUACUUUUACGUGGGGGAUAACGUAGGGAAACUUACGCUAAUACCGCAUACGACCUACGGGUGAAAGCAGGGGAUCUUCGGACCUUGCGCGAUUGAAUGAGCCGAUGUCGGAUUAGCUAGUUGGCGGGGUAAAGGCCCACCAAGGCGACGAUCCGUAGCUGGUCUGAGAGGAUGAUCAGGCACACUGGAACUGGGACACGGUCCAGACUCCUACGGGAGGCAGCAGUGGGGAAUAUUGGACAAUGGGCGCAAGCCUGAUCCAGCCAUACCGCGUGGGUGAAGAAGGCCUUCGGGUUGUAAAGCACUUUUGUUGGGAAAGAAAAGCAGCAGGUUAAUACCCCGCUGUUCUGACGGUACCCAAAGAAUAAGCACCGGCUAACUUCGUG
rnacentral:rRNA from 1 species